rnacentral:rRNA from 1 species
UACGUAGGGUGCAAGCGUUAAUCGGAAUUACUGGGCGUAAAGCGUGCGCAGGCGGUUUUGUAAGUUUGUCGUGAAAGCCCCGGGCUCAACCUGGGAAUGGCGAUGAAGACUGCAAGGCUUGAAUCUGGCAGAGGGGGGUAGAAUUCCACGUGUAGCAGUGAAAUGCGUAGAGAUGUGGAGGAACACCGAUGGCGAAGGCAGCCCCCUGGGUCAAGAUUGACGCUCGAUGCACGAAAGCGUGGGGAGCAAACAGG